GGAGAAAUGAAGUUGAGGCUAAUGGAGCCUUGUCUGGGCCAUGGACCAUGUCUGUGAAGAAAGCCAGGCUGCUCAGAGAAGCAGGACAGUGAAAAAGAAGUCUGUGGAAAUGAACAGAGCAAAUCAAGCCAUGAGAAUUGGGAGCGGGUGACCUCGAUGCCUGAUACUUCAGUUCUCGGUUCCAUUCCUUCAUGAGGUCAUCUGAAACCUACAUGGACCCAGUUCUGACCAUUGUGAAGUGAGUGAAAUUUGGGGGGCAAGCAGCUAUUUGGAGAGGUGCCCUCACUCUUGAAAAAUAGACCCGAGAGAGAAACAUCACCUUUUCCACGGCUGGACAUAUUCUUAUUGCAACCAAGAGGGAAGUUAAAUUAGGACAAAGCUGCAACAGUGGACGGCGGAACAGCAAGGGGUCACGUCAGGCAGGCCCAAGGGCAACCUCUGGCCAACAGCCCACUAGGAAUGAAGACCCUCAAUCCAAAAGCCCAGAGGAACCAAAUGUUGCCAACAGCCAUGUGGCAGAUUCUUCUCUCAUUGAGCCUGCAGAUGAGACCACAGCCCAGGCCAACACCUUGACUGCAGCCUUCCGAGCGACCCUGAAGAAAAAAACCCAGCAGAACCUUGCCCAGACUCCUGACCCACAGAAACUGUGAGCUAGUAAACGUGUCUUUCUGU